AUUGAACGCUGGCGGCAUGCCUUACACAUGCAAGUCGAACGGUAACGGGCCUUCGGGUGCCGACGAGUGGCGAACGGGUGAGUAAUGUAUCGGAACGUACCUUUCAGUGGGGGAUAACGUAGCGAAAGUUACGCUAAUACCGCAUAUUCUGUGCGCAGGAAAGCAGGGGAUCGCAAGACCUUGCGCUGAUUGAGCGGCCGAUAUCAGAUUAGCUAGUUGGUGAGGUAAAGGCUCACCAAGGCGACGAUCUGUAGCGGGUCUGAGAGGAUGAUCCGCCACACUGGAACUGAGAGACGGACCAGACUCCUACGGGAGGCAGCAGUGGGGAAUUUUGGACAAUGGGGGCAACCCUGAUCCAGCCAUGCCGCGUGAGUGAAGAAGGCCUUCGGGUUGUAAAGCUCUUUCGGCCGGGAAGAAAUCGUAUCAGCUAAUACCUGGUGCGGAUGACGGUACCGGCAUAAGAAGCACCGGCUAACUACGUGCCAGCCGCCGCCGUAAUAC
rnacentral:rRNA from 1 species